rnacentral:sRNA from 1 species
CCAAGGGGCAUUAGUAGUUUGGGCUGGGCCUUUUGUGCCCAGGUACUCUGCCACCUGUGUUGCUGAUGGUGUCAAGGAAGGAGGACUUGGCCUAGGGUUGUCUGAGCCGGAGCCAGCAGCUCCACUGGGGAGCAUUGCAGGCGGAGUGGAGCCUCCCGCUCUCCUGGUCCAGCUGCAGACCCCCAACUGGUUUCUGUGCCAUGUUGCGCUCUGACAGUCUCUGUUGCUUCUCUUCUGGUGUUGCUUCUCCUCCCUCCCAUUCUCUCUGCAACUGCCUGCGGGCCGCAUCGCUUGCUUUCACUGCCGUCUGGCUAGGACUCCCUUCUUCCUUCCUUCCCCGAGAAGGCCUCAAUGUGGCGAGGAAGAUGCUGGGGCCGGUAGGGCUGUGAGAUCUUCUGGGGAGGCUAGCCGGGUGGGGCGGGAGCCUCUCAGCUGUCCAGAUUCAGAACUGGAGCCCACUCCUUCUCCCUCUCGUUGCCUCAGCCUGCCCUCACCCUCAGGACUAGGCAGAGAUGUGUUCUGAGCUGGAUGCCGGGAUCCAGAAUCGCUGCACAGUUCCAACAGGACAGCGCCCUCCCCCCUGCGCUGGGAGGGGACCCUCCAUUUCUCCCCCUCACCCACGCUGAGUGUAGAGCUGGGGCCUGGGUGGCGGGCGGGGGCCGGGUGGGAGGUGGCAGUAGUCUUAGCCUGUACACUCUCUUCCUUGGGUGUUUGGUGCUGGCUCCU